rnacentral:rRNA from 1 species
GUAGUUUGAUCCUGGCUCAGGACGAACGCUGGCGGCGCGCCUAACACAUGCAAGUCGAACGAGGAGAGAAGGAGCUUGCUUCUUCGAUCGAGUGGCGAACGGGUGAGUAACGCGUGAGGAACCUGCCUCAAAGAGGGGGACAACGAGUUGGAAACGACUGCUAAUACCGCAUAAGCCCACGGGUCGGCAUCGACCUGAGGGAAAA